AUGUAAGUGUUAUACAGAAACAAUAUGAAGUUAUCUACAAUAUGUUUAGUGUCUUGUUUAGUGGGAGACUUUUUUUACAAAACUGAAGGUUCAGUGAUAAGUAGGGUCAAUCGUUCACAUUUCUCCUGGCCAUACGAAGGAUUUAGAUCAAACAGAAUGAGAAGAGGGUUAAAUUCAUUACUGGAAAUAAUAGAUUACCAUCUCAUCUCUGAGUUGACAACACGAAGUUUGAAUGAAUUCACUCAUGACGUCGAAAUAGUUCCGUGGAAAAAUCAUAAUCAGGAUAACAAAAGGUUUUAUUCCUGGAAUAAUAAUGGAAAUACUAUCAGUUCAAAACGGAACCACCACAGUUGGACACUCAUUCUCACUAAGUCUACUGGAAUAUCAAUUUUUCGAGGAGGAAAAGUUGAAUUUGGUCAAUGCGACUUCGAUUCGGAAUGUAGAUGGUUCUGCAAAUCAUGUGAUCCUCAAUGUCACUGCAUUGAUGGAGUAUGUGACUGUCCUUGAACAUUAUUGGUAAUCAGUGAAACUUUUUGUGGUUUUUGAAUCAUGAACUCUUCACUUAUAACAGUUUUGUACCAAUUGCUAUAAUUGCUAAGGUGUGAGCAAAUACUUUACUAUUUGUAUGAUUAUAUGUGAAAGAGUUGUCGAAGAACAUCUCCAUCAUCUCUAG